GCGAGGGUGGCGGAAUUGGCAGACGCACAAGAUUUAGGUUCUUGCGCCCGAAAGGGCAUGGGGGUUCAAGUCCCCCCCCUCGCAC
rnacentral:tRNA from 1 species